rnacentral:rRNA from 1 species
UACGGGGGGGGCAAGCGUUGUUCGGAAUUACUGGGCGUAAAGCGCACGUAGGCGGUUCGUUAUGUCGGAUGUGAAAGCCCUUGGCUUAACCGAGGAAGUGCAUCCGAAACUGGCGAGCUAGAGUACUAAAGAGGAUCGCGGAAUUCCCGGUGUAGAGGUGAAAUUCGUAGAUAUCGGGAGGAACACCGGUGGCGAAGGCGGCGAUCUGGGUAGAUACUGACGCUGAGGUGCGAAAGCGUGGGGAGCAAACAGG